GCCUACGCAUAUAAAAUUGAUGCUGUAAAAAGGUACGUAAAAAGAUAUCAAAAUAGAUACACUACUCAUGCAUGACAUACAAAAGUACUGCUACUACAGAUAAUUAAUUAUGUAUUAACGUGCAUAACCACAUAAUUAAUUAAACAUGAAUAAAUGAGAGGGAGGGAGAGCUAUGAGCUUAGCUAGAUAGCUAGGGGCCAUGCCAUAUGUAAUGAAGAGGAAAGCGACUUAACAGCCUGAGAGUUGCUGAGAGGCCCAACGGUUUCUCAGAAGGCAGGGUGGGGGAGAGAGAGAGAGAGAGAGAGAGAGAGAGAGAGAGAGAGAACAGUAUUAUUAUUAGUAGGUAUAUAUAGUAGAUAGGUAGAGUAUUAGAGUGGGGUUAAAACUUUACUUUGUAGAAGGAGAAAGAGAACUAAAGAGAAAAAAAGGAAAGGAAUGGUGGCUGGGUUCUGAUAUUCAGCACAGCAAUAUGCUGCUGCUGCUGCUGCUUCUGCUGCUGCUUGAAAGUUGAUGCUUCUGCUGCUGUAUGCUGCUGUAGGUGUGGUGCCGGCAAGUUUAUAAAUGCAGCCCCACUUGGGUUUUACAUUUCUAAAAGGAAUUAUUUGGGUAAUCUCGCCCUCCAUUCACUUGAGAGCCUCUUUGGUUUGAUUCGUUUGUGUCCCCCCUUGCCUUGCAUUGGGUCCCACUUUUACCCCAU
rnacentral:lncRNA from 1 species